AGAUUGUUUAAAAAUGGCGGAAAAGGUUGAAUUGUGAAAAAUGUGACACACCGAUUUCCUUGCUUUUGACGAUAUUCAGAUGAUGGUUUUAGAAUCCAAGACAACGAAGGUUCCAAGGGACCCGUUUGCAGUGAAACCUUUACCUAAAGCAUAUUAUCAUCCAAGUAAACAUAAGAAUCUAUCAAAAACACAGAAAAAGACAAAAAUAUUGGGCAACCCUGCUGCAGAAGACUGCAAAGAGGAGAGUCAACCCAGGGGUCCUGAAGAUGAACUCUUUUUGAAGGGAGGUAAUCGCUACAUAGCAAAGACUCCGCCCCCUGAAGACAAUGCUUCAUCCAAAUUUGAUGAGUCUUGGCCAAGCAGUGAGAGGCCGUCUUCUGUGGGGUUAACAGGCACUGAUGACAAAAGUCCAUACUCUCUCCAGACAAUGUUAGAUUUGUAUGGAAGGAAGGGAGACUACUCUGACAUAAAACAGACUCUGUCUUUCACAGAGACUGACCAGAAGGAAGUAUCAGGUGGAGAAGCAUCCACACUGCAGAGGUACAUAGAGAGGUUCCGUAGAGGAGAGCCAAUGAGUCGAGAGGAUAGACAGCAACAAACAAAGGCCAGCUCUAGAGACUUUUGGUGGAUUGACCCAGCAAACCGGGAAAGUGAGGCAGUUAAAAAGCAGCCAGUCAGAAAGGCAGCUGAGAGAUCCCCUCCUGAUGAUAUAACCCAGAGGUUGCAAGAACGAGCAGACAAAUUAUUGGAACAGAGGUAAGAGUAAAAUAAACAUUUAUCAAGGACUGUACAGGGGGAUAUUUCCAUAUGUAGGUACACUAUAACAUGAAUUUUUUUAAUGAUAUGGCAAUUAAGUCUUGGAAUAUUUUUUAGAAUUAGUGAAAGUCAAUUUGUUUAUUUGAAUCAAAUAACCCCUGUGACAAGUUAUCCAUGUUAACAGUGUAUUUUUGAACAAUUGGCAACAGUGAUUUGAUGAAAAUUUCAUUUAAAUAAAAAGUCAUGAUUGUUUAGCAUUUUGAUAUGAUAUUGUUGGUACUGAAUGUGUCCUUUGGACAAGAUAUUUUUAUACACGUACAUGAAUUGUUAUUGAUAUAUAUACAUUUCUAUCAGUGUGAGUACAGUUGCGUCCUCCGACCCUAUUGUCAGUACAGACGGACUUGGUAGUUCCCUUGAUGGAAGUGCAUCUAUAUCAAGCUUUGAAGAGCAGCCUUACCGACCAGUAUUUGCCAAAAAUUUAGGUAUGUUUAAUUUUACUGCCCAUAAGAAAAUACUUAUUUUGAGAUCUUAUAUAGAUCUUUUUUUCAAAUGCAAUUCUGAAUAAGAUAAUAUUGAUUGAAUGUAAAUGAAAAUUAUACACUCAGAUAAUAGGCCUUCUAAAACAAGAUAUCCAAAUUUGGACCGUGGGUAUGCACCUUAUCCUCACCCCCCUGAUACUUCAAACUUCCACCCCCGGGUGUCACGGCCUGCCCGCCCAGAGGACGACAUUCUCCACCAGUGGAGAGUCAAGCGUCGGCUAGAGUCUGCUAGAGAUGUAGCUGAACACACCCCAGCCAAUAAAAACUCUUUUGGUUUUCUGUCAAAGCAACCUGACCAGGAGGUGUUGGAUGCAAAGUUAUCAGAAUUCAAGGAGCGACUAUCAGGAAAGAGAACUCCUACAGAACCCCACCGACUGACUGGGAAUGUGAGGUUCACACCUGUGCCAAAUAAAAACCUGACCAAAAACACAAAUACUGAAAAUAUGCAGGAAUUUGAGCAGAGAGACACUGAUUCUCUACCCACGAUAGCAAGCCCCACCCUUGGGAGGCGUGGCAAACAGACAGGGGUGGAGCCUCAUUUACAUCUCAUGUGUGAUCUUCUUCCUUGUGGACAUUCACAGCAGUUCUUAGAAAAAACUUUGAAGUCACACAUAGAUGAAAAGUCUGAUCAGGAUUCAAAACAGUCAAAAGGUUGUGAAAGCUCAAGAACAGUGAAUGGUAGGGAUAAGAGUGAUUCUGAUUCUGCUAAGGAAAAGACAGAGACAGGGAGGUAUAGAUACUUACAAGCAGAAAGGCCUCAUGAUGAUGAGGGGGCAGUCAAAACUUCUAGCAAGCAAAGUGAUACUGAAAAUGAUGAGGACCAUAUUAACAAAAGGAAACUGAAAGAAAGCAAGGAACAGGAAAGUUCAAGUGAUAAGUCAGAUUUUAAAGAAUCGAGUAAAAGAAAGAAGAGUCCACGUGAUAAGGAGGACAGUGUUCCAAAACCAAGAGAGUGCCACAGUCCAUCAAUGAAAAAGUUUGAAAGUGUGAACACAGCUAUUGGACAGGUUAUCAAGGACCGACUGUUUACUUCCUCGCUGAGUACAGUCAUUGACAGUGUGGAUAUCAGUGGGGUGGAUCCUAACAGACAGAGUGUGGAGUUCACAGAAUCCACCCGAAUUACUCCCCAUGAUCCCUGCCCUCAAUCAGAGUUAUCUCCUCCUGAUCCCAAACCCCCUAAAGGAUUAUCUGCCCAUGAUUCAAAGCUGAGAGACAAAAAGUCAGAGACCAGAAAAGAGAGACCAGCAAAAAUAGUGAAAUCUGAAUCAGACCGCAGGAAAGCAGAGAGGGUAGCGAAUGUGACAGAGUUAGAAAAUGAGGAUAGCUAUGAAUCUGAUGGAGAAUUCCCUGAGGAUCAGUUGUUACAGAUUCUUAGAGCACAGCGGUCAAGCUAUGAAGAAAAACUAGGACACAUUGACAAACUGCUGGCAGAGUUAUCUCCCAUUUCAUAGUACUACAUGUAUAUAUUAGUAUAACUGCUACUGUAAUAAAUAUGUAUAUAUUUU
rnacentral:misc_RNA from 1 species